AUUGAACGCUGGCGGCAGGCCUAACACAUGCAAGUCGAGCGAGCGGCGGACGGGUGAGUAAUGUAUGGGGAUCUGCCCGAUAGAGGGGGAUAACUACUGGAAACGGUGACUAAUACCGCCUACUAUCAGAUGAACCCAUAUGGGAUUAGCUAGUAGGUGGGGUAAAGUCUCACCACGGCGACGAUCUCUAGCUGGUCUGAGAGGAUGAUCAGCCACACUGGAACUGAGACACGGCCGAGACGCCUACGGGAGGCAGCAGUGGGUAAUAUUGCACAAUGGGCGCAAGCCUGAUGCAGCCAUGCCGCGUGUAUGAAGAAGGCCUUAGGGUUGUAAAGUACUUUCAGCGGGGAGGCGUUACUCGCAGAAGAAGCACCGGCUAACUCCGUGCCAGCAGCCGCGGUAAUAC
rnacentral:rRNA from 1 species